CCAUCAAAGAGGAACAUUGCAGUAGCAGUUUCCAGUUUGUUCGGUGUAACCAGGUGUCCGGUGACUUAUGGACCGGAGUGCGAGCGCAAGGUGCCCGAUAUAGCGGUGCAGGGGAGGCGGAUAGAAUGGAAUGAGCACAUAGAAAGGACGGCGUCGAAUGGGACGGACAACAUUGCUCAGGAUAAUAAAGCGUUGGGACGAAGCGAGAAAAUAAAGGACAGAGACCCGCGCGCGAGAGAUAAAGAUAAAGAGAGAGAGAGAGAGAGAGAGAGAGAGAGAGAGAGAGAAUUGCCCCCGUCUCGCGAGAAGAGCCUUGCAUCAUGGUCCUGGAAAACGCGGCUGGAAAACUGUACGGUCCCCGAGUUUUUCCCCUCCGCAGCGUGGAUCGAGGACGCGCCGUGAUCGUACGGAGUUAACGCGUGCGGCUUCCUAUUCGCUGAGCUGCUCGGUGCCACGUGGCGAGAGAUGGAGGGUCAUUGGAUGCGUCACGAAGGGUGGAGCUAAAACAGUUCAGUAUCGCUUACCGAUCAUGAGGAGUGCAACGGCAAUGUGAUCGCGGCCCGAAGCCCUUAGGGCCCCCAGCAGAGCGCCAGCACCCGCGCAUACAAGGCCCACUACGCCCACGCCCAGAAUGGACCAGCGUACAGGUGGAGAACCAAGGCCGCAACAUUGCUUCGGCACUGCGUCCCUGGAAUAGGAAAUUCUAUACUGUGGUGGUCACUCUGAUGGAAAUGGAACUGUCCACCCUACAGCCCCAAACUGCCCUGCUUAUCGACAUUCCCUUUGUCCCUUUGGAAUCGAAAUACUCAAAACAGUGUGAGAAGUUCAAUAGAAAAGAUGUGCAAGUGAAAAUUUAUCUCAAACAAGAGACCAGUCUAAUGAAUAAAAAUCAGUAUUUAUCUCUA